GACGAACGCUGGCGGCGUGCCUAAUACAUGCAAGUCGAACGGAAUUUUUCUGGUACUUUGACUUGAAGGACUGAGCGGCGCGCGGGUGAGUAGCACGUAACGAACCCUCCUCUUUGGUGGGGACUAAUGUAGGAAACGAUACGCAAUUACGGAUUACGGCAUUCACUUGAUGGUUGGGGAUUAUAAGUUCUUUUUGGUAUCACUGUGCGGUUGCUUUGCGGUGGAUUAGCUGGUUGGCGGGGUAAAGGCCUACCAAGGCGACGAUGCAUAGCCGACCUGAGAGGGUGAUCGGCCACACGGGGACUGAGACACGGCCCAGACUCCUACGGGAGGCAGCAGUAGGGAAUCUUCGGCAAUGGGCGCAAGCCUGACGGAGCAACGCCGCGUGAGUGAAGAAGGCUUUCGGUUCGUAAGGCUCUGUUGUUAGGGAAGAAUGGCUGUGUAGUAACACUACGCAGUAGUGACGGUACCUAAACAGAAAGCAACGGCUAACUACGUG
rnacentral:rRNA from 1 species